GAGGGUAGGGCUCAGUGGUAGAGCACAUGCUUAGCAUGCACAAGGUUGUGGGUUCAAUCCCCAGUACCUCCA
rnacentral:tRNA from 1 species